AUUGAACGCUGGCGGCAUGCCUUACGCAUGCAAGUCGAACGGUAACGGGCCUUCGGGUGCCGACGAGUGGCGAACGGGUGAGUAAUACAUCGGAACGUGCCCGAUCGUGGGGGAUAACGAGGCGAAAGCUUUGCUAAUACCGCAUACGAUCUACGGAUGAAAGCAGGGGACCGCAAGGCCUUGCGCGGACGGAGCGGCCGAUGGCAGAUUAGGUAGUUUGUGGGAUAAAAGCUUACCAAGCCGACGAUCUGUAGCUGGUCUGAGAGGAUGAUCAGCCACACUGGGACUGAGACACGGCCCAGACUCCUACGGGAGGCAGCAGUGGGGAAUUUUGGACAAUGGGCGCAAGCCUGAUCCAGCCAUGCCGCGUGCAGGAUGAAGGCCUUCGGGUUGUAAACUGCUUUUGUACGGAACGAAAAGCCUUCUUUUAAUACAGGAGGGUCAUGACGGUACCGUAAGAAUAAGCACCGGCUAACUACGUG
rnacentral:rRNA from 1 species